GCCUUCGCGCCCCGCGCCGGGCACGGUCUUGUUCAAGGCGCCAGCCGCUGGCGCGGGAGGGCGAGAGCGAGCGCUGUUGUCCGCCCCCACAACCCGGAUGAACUGGUUUCAUCCUCAAGGUGGUUUAAGGCACGUUGAGCUGCUGCGUAAGCACAGCUGUGAUACAUGCAGCAAGUAUAUCAAGUGGUUCACCAUUAAUGAUUCCUGACUACUAGUUUGCUCCUUCCAUAUCAAGUAAACAUAAGGGGCAUCUUGGAGCUUUUCCUUCUCAGUCCCUUCACCGUUGCAACCAUGGAGGUUGGAGAAGGUGAAACUGGAGGAACACUUGGGCCUGCAGUGCCACAGCCCAUCCCGUUCUUGUUCUGUGAAUAGAGGUCUACACUAAUUCUGAAACUGAGAUUUUCCUUUAUGCAGAAUGUGCUACACAGGUCAAAACACUUACAUAAGCAUAUCGAAAGAGAGUAAAACAAGCAAAGCAUACAUUCUCAGGGGAAAGGCCUGAACUCUGGAAUUCACUUCCUCCACACUAGUCCAACAGAGCGGUUUCUGCUGACCUUCAGAGCACAUUGCGAAACCCCAUCUGUUUAUUUAAUCUUUGCUUGAUGGGACAGGUACUUUUGUUUAACCAUGAGGUUAAUCCUUCAGUGACAUUGAAUGUGAUCAGCUAUGUUUUGAUAAGUAACUUUUUUUUUUUAACCUGGGAGAGUUAAGAAAUGCAUUUUUAUUUAUAAUGAAUAAAAAUGCCAAUUAAAAGCAGAAUACCAAAUCAAAACAUAGAUACAAUAGAGAUUAAAGCAAAACCAACCUGUUCCCUAUCUGUGUACGUGUUUUGUUUCCAUCAGUAAAGCAUACCUGAAAUGUCCAGGAAGUACAAAUUGUUUGAUUUUUCUUUGUUGGCUUCAUUUCUAAGGGAGGGUGCACAAAUCAAAUGUCUCCUACCUGAA